CGUCUUUGUUAUCUCUCGAGCUCUCGCAUCCGACCUCUGCUCCUCUCGCGUUAGCGCUCCGAUCCGGACUACCGAAAAUCGCGAAAUCAAUUUAAGUACGACGGUUAGGUACACAAAAAUCAUCAAAGCAUGGCCGCUGAGGAGAGAGAAAGAGCAACAAAGAAGAAAUUGCAACAUUUUCUGAUGCAGAUGCUAAAGAUGGGAUGUGUAAAGGGUUUCAAGUAUUUUGAUAUUUACAUGAGAGGAAGAGAAGAAAUGAUAUGUACGAUCAUGAAUGAUGACAUGGCGCACAAAGAAACUGUACCUUCUGUGUUUGAGAAGGAAAGAUUCACGUUCAACAAAACUGGAAGCGGCAGUUUUGACACAUUACCCCUUGAACAAAGAGAAUUGAUGCUCUCACAAAAUACACAGCAGAAACUCAGUGGCCUUGGAUACAUGGAUGUGGGUCUGCCGCCAGCUUCACCCAGUGAGAGAGAAAUUGGUCCAAUUACUGCAGAGUCUACAUUGUUUCUUAUAGCUGGUUAUGGGAAGUAUAACUGUCCAUAUGUGUGGGUAAGGAGCAAUCAUGACAGACUGGUGAAGCUAUCUGAUAACACAUCUUUCUCUAAAGACAGUCCACUUAGACUCAAGUCUACAUCAACCUGGGGUAAGAGUGAUGUGAAGGUAUGGCAGAUAAUAGCUGAGCUAGUUAAGCUCUGUACUCGGCCUGCCCCAAGAAUCCCUUUGAAGUUAACAUGGAUUACUUUGAUACUCUGUCAAGCAAGGGAGAGAGGGUCAUUGCCCUGGGCGCCAUGGCUUAUUUCUUACAGAUUGUAGUGACUGAAGGGUGUGAGAGGUCUUUCAGUGGUUUAGUUGCUGAUGAUCUAAGAGAAGUACAUCGCCUACAUCUGAAAGAAUUCCAGGAGGUUAUACGAGAGUCUACAUUGACUCAGCAGCAAUCGAAGAGAGGAUCUAGUAGAGAGGGUGGUGGGUCCGGUGGUACGUCACCCAGAAGACAAGGUAGUCUUACACCUAGAGGUCCAGGUAUGGCGGUCAGUCAGAGGCAAGAGGCUCAAGGGCAGUAUGGAGGUGGAGCUUAUGGACAGCCUGGACAUGCUUACUGAUGCAUAUUCAUAAGGAGAUGGAGCUUAUGGACAGCCUGGACAUGCUUACUGAUGCAUAUUCAUAAGGAGGUGGGGUUUAUAGACAGCCUGGACAUGCUUACUGAUGCAUAUUCAUUAGGAGGUGGGGUUUAUAGACAGCCUGGACAUACUUACUGAUUCAUACCCAUAAGUAGAUGGAGCUUAUGGACAGCCUGGACAUGCUUUCUGAUGCAUAUUCAUAAGGAGGUGGGGCUUAUGGACAGAGAUACAAGGCUCAAACCUGGUGAAUAUAUGUAUUACCAAGACCCUGAUUUCUGUGUGAAAUUACAGGUUAAAGCCCAGGUAUCGGUAUUGCAUUAUGUUGAGAACCACUAGAGAUAUGGGGUUCAAACUUGGUGAUAUUUAUUAUGUAUCAUCAUCGGAAGACAAUCUGAAUAGGUAUUUGGAAAGUAGGUCAAUGUUCAAAGGUCAUAAAGGUCAAUUUGUGAAAUUGGAGGUAUAAGUUGUGUUAUCACAAUAUGUCAAGGACUGCUUGAAUUAUAUUUUGGGCUAGCUGGCUAAGAUCAUACAUUGUAGUUGUCAAUUGAUGUGUAAAUAUAGCUUUUUUUUCUUUUUCAUUGUGAAUAGUCACAAAUAAUUCCAUCCAUUUCCUAAACUGAAUUUAGGGCUGAGGCAUAUAGGAGAUGCAGUCGCAUUUGUCAUGUUUUUAGAUAGAUGCAAAUGUACAAUGUCCAAACUCAAUUGGAAUGGAGUUGUGAGUAAUAAAAACAAUACUUCAAAUUUGCAUCAGUCGAAGUGUCAUCAAUGUUGAGAUAGCACACCUAGAACUAAGCUUUUAAAAUACCGGUAUUCAUUUUUAAGGUUGUCAUUCUACUUUUACAUCACACAGCUAGUGCUGGGUUAACUAGAUUUUAUAUAUAUACAGGUAAUCAGUGUUUUAUAUAAAUACAGAGCUGCCAACCCUCCUGUUUUUAUGCAAAAAGGGGUCAUAUUUUGUUGAAAAUGUUCAAUUACUAUUAUAAAAACACCAUCGGGCCACAGAAUCUCAGAAACCUCAGAUUCCUUAUAAAUCAUACCCAAAUUUACUGUCAAAAUAUUCAAAUAACAUUAACAAUUUGUGCACAAAAGGAGUGCAGAAUGCCCGGACCCCACCCGCAAUAGCUCACUCACAAUGCUCGCUUCAUAAAGAUCUCCCUGAUUACAAAAACCAAAUGUUGGCAGCUCUGUAUAUAUUCAUGAUAGUAGAAUUAUCUGCCCUCAAAUUGUUUGAAAUGAGCAGUGUAGCUAGUAUUAAUAAAUAAAUCAAGGCAACUUGUAAUACCUCGCUUUUAUACUGAAGACCGUUUCUUAAUUUUGUAUACAUUUUUUGUCCUUUCUAUACAACUUUCAUUGGGUACUGACUUGUGCCUUUUUCCCACCAACUGAUAAGCUCCAUUUCUACAGCAACAUUGAUUAUUUCAGUGGUACUCUGUUCAGUUCUGUUGCAUGGAGGACUUUGUAAAUGAGGAUUAUUGCCUUGUACAUUGACUGUGCUACACAUGAAUUGGAGCAAAGUACAAAUCGGCCAAUUAUUGCAUGAUCCAAUCAAAAGCCAAAACAUGUUUGCACAAACCAAUUUUUUUCUUCUUCAAAAUAAGCCAGAGCUUCUUAAAAGUUGCCAAGACCAACCUUUUUCUUUAAAGGGACCGGUAUGCAUAGACUUAUGGGGUCUAUUACGCGAGGAAUAUGCAUAUUCCCGAAUUUGACGCCCUUUGACACGCUAUCUUCAUCAUGUAAUUGGAGAUAUUAUUAAAAUAAAAUCAACCAGAUUCUGGACUAGAGUAAAUUAUCAUAA